UAGGCGGGCAGGUAAGUCAGUGGUGAAAUCCUGGAGCUCAACUCCAGAACUGCCAUUGAUACUAUCUGUCUUGAAUAUUGUGGAGGUAAGCGGAAUAUGUCAUGUAGCGGUGAAAUGCUUAGAUAUGACAUAGAACACCCAUUGCGAAGGCAGCUUACUACGCAUAUAUUGACGCUGAGGCACGAAAGCGUGGGGAUCAAACAGGAUUAGAUACCCUGGUGGUCCACGCCCUAAACGAUGCUGACUAGUUGUUCGGGAUUUACAUCCUGAGUAACGUAGCUAACGCGUGAAGUCAGCCGCCUGGGGAGUACGGUCGCAAGAUUAAAACUCAAAGGAAUUGACGGGGACCCGCACAAGCGGUGGAUGAUGUGGAUUAAUUCGAUGCAACGCGAAAAACCUUACCUACCCUUGACAUGUCACUAACGAAGUAGAGAUACAUUAGGUGCCCGUAAGGGAAAGUGAACACAGGUGCUGCAUGGCUGUCGUCAGCUCGUGUCGUGAGAUGUUGGGUUAAGUCCCGCAACGAGCGCAACCCUUGUCUUUAGUUGCUACGCAAGAGCACUCUAAAGAGACUGCCGGUGACAAACCGGAGGAAGGUGGGGAUGACGUCAAGUCCUCAUGGCCCUUAUGGGUAGGGCUUCACACGUCAUACAAUGGUGCAUACAGAGGGUUGCCAACCCGCGAGGGGGAGCUAAUCUCAGAAAAUGCAUCGUAGUCCGGAUCGUAGUCUGCAACUCGACUACGUGAAGCUGGAAU
rnacentral:rRNA from 1 species